UUUAUUAUUGUGAGAUCCUCAUAAUCCUAACAAACAUCUCAAUCUCAUCAAAACAAUACAAAAAACCCGAUCAUAAUCAUUGGUGAGGCAAGAAUAAAAUUGAAAAUAAGAGGAAACACAGAUGAAUAGAGUGACAAAAUAAACAAGUUAGAGAUGUGUAACCUUCAAAAGAUCAACCUAUAUCAGAAAUCACUUGAUCUGUACAUUUGAUAGAUAAGAAAGAAAAUUACUCAUAAAAGAUAGAAAAAAAAGGAAAAUAUGACAAUUUUUCAGCAGUACAUAUUUUUUUACCCUUUGUAUUUUGUUUAUACAAUCAUAAAGUGAUUAUGAACCAGAGAUUUCUAUUAAAUAAUGUAAGCUAAAUAUUUCUAUUAAGUACAUCCUCAAUUAUAUAAAUCAAUCAAACAUGUAAUGAGUAACAAACCUUGACAUUAAAUAGUUUAGAAAGAUAUGUAUUGAACAUCAAAAUUAAUUAAAUAUAUACUUAUAUCCUUAAGAACAUAAAAUGUCAUCUUCUAUAUUCUGAUAAUUAAACAAUUAACAUAAGUUAUACAGAUUAAAAAAUAUGCUAAAAUACUAAUUAUAAGUAGAAAAUGAAAAAGAAAAAAAGAAAAUAGAAUAAUUACAAGAAAAUGAAAAAGAAAAAAAACAAAAUAGAAUAACUACAAGAAAUUUAAAAUGAGACCGUAUGGUAUAAAGGAAACCAACUCAAUCAGUUUUCCAGUGUUACACUAGCACCACGUUUAUUAUUGUGAGAUCCUCAUAAUCCUAACAAAAAUUUCAAUCUCAUCAAAACAAUACGAAAAACCCUAUCAUAAUCAUUGGUGAUGCAAGAAUAAAAUUGAAAAUAACAGGAAACACAAAUGAAUAGAGUUAAAAAAAUAAACAAGUUAGAGAUGUAUAACCUUCAAAAUAUUAACCUAUAUCAUAAAUCACUUGAUCCAUACAUUUGAUAGAUAAGAAAGAAAAUUACUCAUAAAAGAUAGGAAAAAAAAGGAAAAUAUGACCAUUUUUCAGCAGUACGUAUUUUUUUACCCAUUGUAUUUUGUUUAUACAAUCAUAAAGUGAUUAUGAACCAAAGAUUUCUAUUAAUUAAUGAAAGCUAAAUAUUUCCAUUAAGUACAUCCCCAAUUAUAUAAAUCAAUAAAACAUGUAAUGAGUAAAAAUCAUUGGCAUUAAAUAGUUUAGAAAGAUAUGUAUUGAACAUCAAAGUUAAUUAAAUAUAUACUUAUAUCCUUAAGAACAUAAAAUGUCAUCUUCUAUAUUCUGAUAAUUAAAAAAUUAACAUCAGUUAUACAGAUUAAAAAAUAUGCUAAAAUACAAAAAUUAAGUAGAAAAUGAAAAAGAAAAAAAGAAAAAAGAAUAAUUACAAGAAAAUCAAAAUCUAAAAAAGGAAAUAGUAUAAUUACAAGAAAAUGAAAAUGAGACCGUAUGGUAUAAAGGAAACCAACUCAAUCAGUUUUCCAGUGUUACGCUAGCGCCACCUUUGGUAUAAAGGAAAUCAAUCUUCUAUACGAAAAAUGAAAAUGAAAAUGAGACCGUAUGGUAUAAAGGAAAUCAAUCUUCUAUACGAAAAACCCUAUCAUAAUCAUUGGUGUGCAAGAAUAAAAUUGAAAAUAAGAGGAAACACAAAUGAAUAGAGUGAUAAAAUAAACAAGUUAGAGAUUUGUAAGCUUCAAAAGAUCAACCUAUAUCAGAAACUAAUUGAUCUGUACAUUUGAUAAAUAAGAAAGAAAAUUACUCAUAAAAGAUAGAAAAAAAAGGAAAAUUUGACAAUUUUUCAGCAGUACGUAUUUUUUUACCCAUUGUAUUUUGUUUAUACAAUCAUAAAGCGAUUAUGAACCAGAGAUUUCUAAUAAGUAAGGUAAGGUAAACAUUUUUAUUAAGUACAUCCUCAAUUAUAUAAAUCAAUCAAACAAGUAACGAGUAACAAACAUUGGCAUUAAAUAGUUUAGAAAGAUAUGUAUUGAACAUCAAAAUUAAUUAAAUAUAUACUUAUAUCCUUAAGUACAUAAAAUGUCAUCUCCUAUAUUCUGAUAAUUAAAAAGUUAUCAUAAGUUAUACAGAUUAAAAAAUAUGCUAAAAUACUAAUUAUAAGUAGAAAAUGAAAAAGAAAAAAAGAAAAUAGAAUAAUUACAAGAAAAUGAAGAAGAAAAAAAGAAAAUAGAAAAAUUACAAGAGAAAAAGAAAAAAAGAAAAUAGAAUAAUUACAAGAAAAUGAAGAAGAAAAAAAGAAAAUAGAAAAAUUACAAGAAAAUGAAAAUGAGACAGUAUGUAUUAAAGGAAACCAACUCAAUCAUUUUUCCAGUGUUACAUUAGCACCACCUAUAUUAUUGUGAGAUCCUCAUAAUCCUAGCAAACAUAUCAAUCUCAUCAAAACAAUAUGAAAACCCUAUCAUUAUCAUUGGUGACGCAAGAACAAAAUUGAAAAUAAGAGAAAACACAGAUGAAUAGGGUGACAAAAUAAAAAAGGUAGAGAUGUGUAACCUUCAGAAGAUCGACCUAUCUCAGAAAUCACUUGAUUUGUACAUUUGAUAGAUAAAAAUGAAAAUUACUCAUAAAAGAUAGAAAAAAAAAGAAAAUAUAACAAUUUUUCAGCAGUACGUAUUUUUUUACCCUUUGUAUUUUGUUUAUACAAUCAUAAAGUGAAUACGAACCAGAGAUCUCUAUUAAAUAAUGUAAGCUAAAUAUUUUCAUUAAGUACAUCCCCAAUUAUAUAAAUCAAUCAAACAUGUAAUGAGUAAAAAACAUUGACAUUAAAUAGUUUAGAAAGAUAUGUAUUGAAUAUCAAAAUUAAUUAAAUAUAUACUUAUAUCCUUAAGUACAUAGAAUGUCAUCUUCUAUAUUCUGAUAAUUAAACAAUUAACAUAAGUUAUACAGAUUAAAAAAUAUCUUAGAGUAAUUUUGGAUUGAGUUUCAUGUUCCCUUAUAUAUCAGCAUUUAUUUAGAAUUUAUUUUUAAGUAUAUUUUAAUAUAUUUUCAUACGUCUUAAGUUGAUAAGUAGUGGUGAAUUAUAGAUUAUGGAUUAUUAUAGGUAUUCCUAUAUUACUGGAUGGAUGGUUAAAAAUCUUAAUUAAAUUAGAUUAAAGGUAUGGACAAAGCAUGGACUAACUCCCAAGACAUUGGAAUCUAUUGAAGACUCAGUUGAAGCUGGAACCAAGCAUUUCAAUCAUUGUUGGGGAAAGAAAAGCCGGUAGAGUGAGAUGUUAUGGAAGAACUGUCACACCAUCAUUGUUGAAAAAAAUGAAGAAAUUUCUUUAAUGAAAAUGCAAUGAUGGUAAGAUUUCUGAAUGGUGCAAAGAUGGAAGCAAUGGAGGAACUUUUGAAAAAGCAUGUAUAUGCAACAAAAUCCACAUUUAAGUGAAGAGGAAGUAGAUGAUAAGAUGAGAGAAGCUUUGCACAAUGAUAAUAUUCCAACACCACACUCAUCGCGACAUCAACAUAUGCUCCUACUCUCAUCAAAAGGUACUAUAAUUGACAUUAAUAAAAUCAACAUUAUUUUAUAAGUGUUGAGUUGUUAUUUUAUAGUUGUUUAAUUUUUUAAACAUGCGGUGUUAGUUUUAUAAGUUACUCAUUAAGUUAGUAUAUAUUCAUGCUAGCUAGGUUGAACAUUGUGACAUAUGUUCCAAUGCACAUUUUCAUUAUGUUUUUAAAAAAUUAACAUUGUAUAUUGGUUUGAUGGUAAGAUUCAUGUAUAAAUUGCAUAGAUUCGAGUUUGAUUCUAAGCGUGCAAAGUUCGUUAGUGAGUAAUAUAUAACUAUCAAUUGUUGUGGAUUGAAUCAUUAUUGCAUGGAUGUUGUAGUCAUUGAAGCCUUGCAAUGCCGCUUUGAUUAUUGUAAACUUUGUUAUUGAUAAAUAUAUAAAGAAAUUCUUCAUAUUAAGAGGUUAGAAACAAAGAUGAUCCUGACAAUGAACAAAUGAUGAUCUUCAAGAUGACGAUAAUCUUCAAUAUAAUCAAGAUGAUGAUGAUCUGUCAAUAUGAAUCAAGAGUGAUGAUGAUCUUCAAUAUGAUCAAGAUGAUAAUGAUCUUCAAUAUGAUAGUUUUCAAGAUGAUGAUUCUCCAUGGACCUCAACACAAUGAAUUGAUAAAGACCGCCAUUGAUUUAAAUAUUGACGAUUGUGUUUUGUUUUAUGGAUUUACAUAAAGCCAACUAGCUAUAACUUUUAUGCUGUGAUUUAUUUUGAAAUAUUUUGUAUUUUUUGAAUUUCAAAGAGUUGAUUACACUUCAUCUUAUUAAUACUUUCAUAUUUAAAUAUGUGUUUUCAAUUUAAAAGUGUGUUUCUUCUAAUAAUAUUGAAAAAUAUCUAUUAGAUAAUGUGAAGGUAUAUGAUCAUAAAUGUAUCACCAUAUAAAGGAACAAAAAUCUCUAUCUAAAUUAGUAUCGUUUCAAUCUAGUGCCCACAGGACAAUGUUUAAAUACUAAUAAUGUUUGCUUUUCAAAGUCUUGACGUUAUAUAUAAUUUGAUUGUUUUUUGCAUCUAUAGACAACGGCUUUUUAUGCGUUGCCUUAAUCAAAAACCGUAGUAUAUUCCUUUGUUUUAGCGGCGGUUAUGUGUGUUGUGUAAAUGAAAUUAUAGAUUGAAGCUACGGUUUACAUCUGUUGGUUAUUAAUAACCGUUGCCUUUCACAUGUUUAGGGGACAGUAUUUUAAUGUUGCUGACUUGAAACCGCAGCUUAAAGCAGUUCAACUAAAACCGUGGACUUUGAUAUUUAAGGCGAUGGUGUUCGAGAUCCGUAGGUAGAAUCAAAAAAACCGCCGCUGCUAAAUGGAAUAAGCAAUGGCUGUUAUUCAACGCUUGAUAAAACCGUCCCCUAAGAGCAUUAAAGGCAACGGUUUUAUACCGUUAAUGGGGGGCGUUUUAUUCGUUGUUGCCUAAAAACCCAUGUUUUUGGUUGUAGUGACAUUAAAUAGUUUAGAAAGAUAUGUAUUGCACAUCAAAAUUAAUUAAAUAUAUACUUAUAUCCUUAAGAACAUAAAAUGUCAUCUUCUAUAUUCUGAUAAUUAAACAAUUAACAUAAGUUAUACAGAUUAAAAAAUAUGCUAAAAUACUAAUUAUAAGUUGAAAAUGAAAAAGAAAAAAAGAAAAUAGAAUAAUUACAAGAAAAUGAAAAAGAAAAAAAGAAAAUAGAAUAAUUACAAGAAAAUGAAAAUGAGACUGUAUGUAUUAAAGGAAACCAACUCAAUCAUUUGUUAGGAUUAUUGUGAGAUCCUCAUAAUCCUAACAAACAUCUCAAUCUCAUCAAAACAAUACGAAAACCCUAUCAUAAUCAUUGGUGACGCAAGAAUAAAAUUGAAAAUAAGAGGAAACACAGAUGAAUAGGGUGACAAUAUAAGAAAGGUAGAGAUGUGUAACCUUCAAAAGAUCAACCUAUAUCAGAAAUCACUUGAUUUGUACAUUUGAUAGAUAACAAUGAAAAUUACUCAUAAAAGAUAGAAGAAAAAAAAGAUGACAAUUUUUCAGCAGUACGUAUUUUUUUUACCCUUUGUAUUUUGUUUAUACAAUCAUAAAAUGAAUAUGAACCAGAGAUUUCUAUUAAAUAAUGUAAGCUAAAUAUUUUCAUUAAGUAAAUCCCCAAUUAUAUAAAUCAAUCAAACAUGUAAUGAGUAAAAAACAUUGACAUUAAAUAGUUUAGAAAGAUAUGUAUUGAACAUCAAAAUUAAUUAAAUAUAUACUUAUAUCCUUAAGAACAUAAAAAAUCCCCAAUUAUAUAAAUCAAUCAAACAUGUAAUGAGUAAAAAACAUUGACAUUAAAUAGUUUAGAAAGAUAUGUAUUGAACAUCAAAAUUAAUUAAAUAUAUACUUAUAUCCUUAAGAACAUAAAUUGUCAUCUUCUAUAUUCUGAUAAUUAAAAAAUUCACAUAAGUUAUACAGAUUAAAAAAUAUUCUAAAAUACUAAUUAUAAGUAAAAAAUGAAAAAGAAAAAAAAAAAUAGAAUAAUUACAAGAAAAUGACAAAGAAAAAAAGAAAAUAGAAUAAUAACAACAAAUUUAAAAUGCGACUGUAUUGUAUAAAGGAAACCAACUCAAUCAGUUUUCCAGUGUUACACUAGCACCACCUUUAUUAUUGUGAGAUCCUCAUAAUCCUAACAAGCAUCUCAUUCUUAUCAAAACAAUACGAAAAACCCUAUCAUAAUCAUUGGUGAUGCAAGAAUAAAAUUGAAAAUAAGAGGAAACACAAAUGAAUAGAGUGACAAAAUAAACAAGUUAGAGAUCUGUAACCUUCAAAAGAUCAACCUAUAUCAGAAAUCACUUGAUAUGUACAUUUGAUAGAUGAGAAAGAAAAUUACUC
rnacentral:lncRNA from 1 species